GGACUACAAGGGUUUCUAAUCCUGUUUGCUCCCCACGCUUUCGCGUCUCAGCGUCAGCAACGAUCCAGAGGGCCGCCUUCGCCGCCGGUGUUCCUCCUGAUAUCUACGCAUUUCACCGCUACACCAGGAAUUCCACCCUCCUCUAUCGCGCUCUAGCUCGCUAGUUUCGGAUGCACUUCUGGGGCUGAGCCCCAGGCUUUCACACCCGACUUGACAAACCGCCUACACGCCCUUUACGUCCAGUCAAUCCGAACAACGCUUGCACCCUCCGUCUUACCGCGGCGGCUGGCAC
rnacentral:rRNA from 1 species